UUUUAAGAAGCUUUUUAAGAAGCGUCGAGCUUUUAACUCGAAGAAGGAUUAAUUCCCU
rnacentral:tRNA from 1 species